rnacentral:piRNA from 1 species
GGCUCAAAGAACAGCGGUGCAGGUAAG